rnacentral:rRNA from 1 species
ACUCAAAGGAAUUGACGGGGGCCCGCACAAGCGGUGGAGUAUGUGGUUUAAUUCGAUGCAACGCGAAGAACCUUACCUGGCCUUGACAUCCGCGGAACUUGGCAGAGAUGCCUUGGUGCCUUCGGGAACCGCGAGACAGGUGCUGCAUGGCUGUCGUCAGCUCGUGUCGUGAGAUGUUGGGUUAAGUCCCGCAACGAGCGCAACCCUUGUCCCUAGUUGCCAGCACAUUAUGGUGGGAACUCUAGGGAGACCGCCGGUGACAAACCGGAGGAAGGUGGGGAUGACGUCAAGUCCUCAUGGCCCUUACGGCCAGGGCUACACACGUACUACAAUGGUGGGUACAAAGGGUUGCCAAGCCGCGAGGCGGAGCCAAUCCCAGAAAACCCAUCUCAGUCCGGAUCGGAGUCUGCAACUCGACUCCGUGAAGUCGGAAUCGCUAGUAAUCGCGGAUCAGCAAUGCCGCGGUGAAUACGUUCCCGGGCCUUGUACACACCGCCCGU